rnacentral:ncRNA from 1 species
GCCGUCCUAGACUGAUUCGGGAUCCACGUUUGCGAACGGGGAUUUACGGAAGCCGGUGCGAAUCCGGCGCGGCCCCGCCACUGUAACGGGCUGUUCAUCGCGGCUCAGAGCCACUGGGGAAACCUGGGAAGGCGAGCCGCGUAGCCCGAAGCCAGGAGACGUCUUCGUUCGCGCCACCAAUC